CGGCCAUGUAAUUAAUGAUUUCCCCACUUGUAUGUCUCUGCUUUGACGAAUGCGAAAGGGUCAAACCCUUGUUGUAGAUGGUGGCCACAAGCGCUGCACGGAUCCUAAUCCCAAUUUGCUGCAACCUAAAGAACCAAUGCCUCUGCGAGAGGCACUCUACGAGUUUUGCAACAAAAAAUGAAGCUAGAAAAUAUCCCUGAUUUUUGAACUCUCCUUUCCCACUGAGGCACUGAACAAAAGUGGCUAUAAGGUAUGGACCAACAAAAGAAGCUGAU
rnacentral:misc_RNA from 1 species